AUUGAACGCUGGCGGCAGGCCUAACACAUGCAAGUCGGGCGAACGAGGCUUCGGCCAAGUGAGCGGCGAACGGGUGAGUAACACGUAGGAAUCUGCCUGGUAGUGGGGGACAACGUCUCGAAAGGGACGCUAAUACCGCAUACGCCCUACGGGGGAAAGCAGGGGCUCUUCGGACCUUGCGCUAUCAGAUGAGCCUGCGUCGGAUUAGCUAGUUGGUGGGGUAAAGGCCUACCAAGGCGACGAUCCGUAACUGGUCUGAGAGGAUGAUCAGUCACACCGGAACUGAGACACGGUCCGGACGCAUACGGGAGGCAGCAGUGGGGAAUAUUGGACGAUGGGGGCAACCCUGAUCCAGCCAUGCCGCGUGUGUGAAGAAGGCCUUCGGGUUGUAAAGCACUUUAGGUCGGGAGGAAGGUUCGCUGGCUAAUAUCCAGCGGAAUUGACGUUACCGACAGAAUAAGCACCGGCUAACUCCGUGCCAGCCGCCGCGGUAAGAC
rnacentral:rRNA from 1 species